UGGAAGCUAUAAUUAGUGUUAAAUUCUUACUUUAAUGUUUGGGAAUGCAGUUUCUCU
rnacentral:tRNA from 1 species